rnacentral:rRNA from 1 species
AUGGCGCACAUAACAACCGUCUUGGGGGUGGUGAUGGCGGCCGCAGCGGUGGCGAUGCUGACAUCGGCGCUCCUCGCCGGAGCAGAAAUUUCCCCGGCGGAGGCGCAAGGGGUGCCCAACUGUGACAUCACCUGCGGCAACAUGAGCGUGCCGUACCCGUUCGGCAUGGGCCCGGCCAGGUGCUACUGGCCGGGGUUCAACCUCACCUGCAGCCGCUCAAGCAAACCACCGCGGUUGCUGCUUGGCGAUGGCACCCUCCAAGUCCAAGAGUUCUCCCUCAGGUGGUCAUUUGUGAAGGUCAUACGUACGGGCGAGAUAAAAGUCGAUGGCAACGGUGAAGGCAUGCUCGGCGGCGGUCUUACAACCAACGGGCCCUACACACUUUCAUCCAACCAGCUCAUCCUAGUGGGUUGCAAUGUCCAGGCGACGCUCAAGAACGGCGAGGUGACCAUGGCCAGCUGUUCUUCUGGCUGCAAAAGCGGCGAUGGACUCUCCCAAGCGCUAUCCACUCUUGAAGCAGGCAUGCAAUGCUCUGGCAAUGGCUGCUGUCAGUCGGACAUUGUCUUCGACCCUGCGGAGGUAGCAGGAAGACUUGUCGAUAGUGCGUUCUACAACGUGCAACUCAAAUGGUUCGGCUGGAACCACAGCGCAGACCAGCAGUGGCCCGCACACGUCUUUAUCGCGGGGUCCGGCUGGUUCAGCCGUACAGCGGUCUUCCACGAGCUGUUACGAAAAGCCGCCCCCGCGUCAGUGGAUGCAAUGCAAGUUCCCUUCUGGCUGGACUGGGAGGUUGUUGGCUAUGGCGCAGAAUGCUCCAACAUCUGCAAGAGCAAGCAUAGCGACUGCACAAAGGGUAACAAAGGCUACACGUGCUCCUGCAAAGACGGCUACGAAGGGAAUCCCUACAUCACCAACGGAUGCAAAGAUAUCGACGAGUGUCAUGAAGGGUACGCUAGGUGCUAUGGUGGUGCUUGUACCAAUUUGGAAGGAUCAUAUUAUUGCCGGUGUCCUCCAGGAACCAAUGGCGACCCUACCCUGCCUGGUGAUUGCCUCAGUUCCGUCUCAGGUAAUGGCAGCACGUCCUGCGGUGGCAUAGAUGUGCCAUACCCCUUCGGCAUUGGCUCUGCCGGUUCCUACUGGCCAGGGUUCAACCUCACCUGUGAUACAAGCCAACAACCAGCAAAGCUACUACUCGUCCUCCACGACCUCGUCGAUGGCGUGGCUGACUCCUACCACGUCAAGGAGAUCUCCCUCGAGAACAACACAGUGCAUGUCCUCUCCAGCAAAGCCAUCAUGGAUAUUAUCCACACGAACUUCUCAUUCGGUGUUUUAAACCUUGGCAACUACUCAGAGGCGCCCUACUCACUAUCGACAGGCAACGAGUUCAUCCUAUCGGGCUGCAACCUUCAGGCGACGCUGCUGAUCGGUGAUGGUACCAAGGAUUUGAUCAGCGGUUGUGCCUCUUUCUGCCCCUCCAACGUCAGUGACACCUACGUUGAGACGACUCUGCAGCGUACAGGCAGAUACUGCUACGGCAUGGGCUGCUGCCAGGCACAUAUCUCCAUGUCCUCCAACGGCUUGCCCACAAAGUUGAAGUUCCAAAAUCUCAACAAGGACGGCAACCUGGAGUUGACGUCCCAGCCCGCGUACAUGCUAAUUGCAGAGGAGGGGUGGUUCGACCAGCGACAGUUGUCCAAGGAGAUGGCGGGGCAUGAGGAAUCCAAACUAGCCAAGGUGCAGGUUCCCCAAGUUCUGCAGUGGGAGGUCAUGCAAGACUUACCGCGACCAGCCGACAUGAAGGCGCAUCCAGACUGUCCAGCCGAGGUAGCCCGCAAACUGUGCAAGAGCAAGAACAGCUACUGCAAACGAGGGAGCAGAGGCUAUUUAUGCCAGUGCUUGGAUGGCUAUCACAAGCCCGGCAACAACCCCUACCUUGCCAACGGAUGCAAAGGUGGCCGCAAGCCUUUAUCUACAGGUAUAUACCUCAGCAUAGGAGUUGCUGUUGGGGCAGGCAUCAUACUAUUUGUUCUCGCUGGGUCCUUCACACGUAAGAAAUUCAAACAUCGAAAAGCCAAGAUGUUGAAACGGAAGUUCUUCGAAAAAAACCGUGGACAAUUGUUGCACCAAUUGGUAUCACAAAGAGCUAAUAUUGCAGAAAGAAUGAUUAUAGCCUUAGAUGAGCUUGAGAAGGCAACAAACAAAUUUGAUAAAGCUCGUGAGCUUGGUGGCGGGGGGCAUGGUACAGUCUACAAAGGGAUCCUAUCAGAUCUCCAUGUUGUAGCCAUCAAGAAACCAAAGGCGGCAAUUCAAAAGGAGAUUGAUGAAUUCAUUAAUGAGGUUGCUAUCCUAUCACAGAUCAACCAUAGAAAUGUUGUAAAACUCUAUGGUUGUUGCCUUGAAACCGAGGUCCCCAUGUUGGUCUACGAGUUUAUAUCCAAUGGUACCCUUUAUGAUCAUCUUCAUGUUGAUGGACCAAGAUCAUUGUCAUGGAAUGAUAGGCUACGGAUAGCAACUGAGACUGCCAGAUCUUUAGCUCAUCUUCACUCAACAGCUUCAAUACCCAUCAUCCAUAGAGAUAUCAAGUCUGUUAACAUACUUUUGGAUGAUACUCUAACAGCAAAAGUCGCCGACUUUGGAGCUUCAAGAUAUGUUCCGGUGGAUAGAUCAGGACUCACAACAAGAGUGCAAGGUACAAGAGGAUAUCUAGACCCCAUGUAUUUCUAUACAGGGCGUCUCACGGAAAAAAGUGAUGUGUACAGCUUCGGUGUCCUGCUUCUGGAGUUGUUGACUAGAAAGAAACCAUUUUCAUACAUCUCUUCUGAAGAGGAAGGCCUUGUUACACACUUUUCUACCUUAUUCACACAAGGCAAUUUGUCCGAGAUAAUAGAUCCCCAAGUUAUGGAAGAGGGAAACAGAGAAAUGGAAGAAGUCGCAGCACUUGCAGUAAUGUGUAUAACAUUAAGAGGAGAGGAUCGUCCGUCAAUGAAGCAAGUGGAGAUCAAACUCGAAGGCACUCAAGCAUCCAGGGGACAUGAGGGGGGUAAUGUAAGAAAAUGUCCACCGACUGUUGAUAGAAGUAGGAGCGAAGAAUUAUCCAGGCAGUAUAGUAUGGAAGAAGAGUUCAUGUUAUCUUCAAGGAAUCCUCGGUAA